AACAGGAGAUGCCAAGAGUGAACAAUGACAUCUUAGGAAUCAGUGAACUAAAAUGGACUGGAAUGGGCAAAUUUAACUCAGAUGACCAUUAUAUCUACUACUGUGGGCAAAAAUCCUUUAGAAGAAAUGAAGUAGCCAUCAUAGUCAACAAAAGAGUCCGAAA